rnacentral:rRNA from 1 species
GUCUGCAUGGAGCCGACCUUGAAAUACCACCCUUUAAUGUUUGAUGUUCUAACGUGGACCCGUGAUCCGGGUUGCGGACAGUGUCUGGUGGGUAGUUUGACUGGGGCGGUCUCCUCCUAAAGAGUAACGGAGGAGCACGAAGGUUGGCUAAUCCUGGUCGGACAUCAGGAGGUUAGUGCAAUGGCAUAAGCCAGCUUGACUGCGAGCGUGACGGCGCGAGCAGGUGCGAAAGCAGGUCAUAGUGAUCCGGUGGUUCUGAAUGGAAGGGCCAUCGCUCAACGGAUAAAAGGUACUCCGGGGAUAACAGGCUGAUACCGCCCAAGAGUUCAUAUCGACGGCGGUGUUUGGCACCUCGAUGUCGGCUCAUCACAUCCUGGGGCUGAAGUAGGUCCCAAGGGUAUGGCUGUUCGCCAUUUAAAGUGGUACGCGAGCUGGGUUUAGAACGUCGUGAGACAGUUCGGUCCCUAUCUGCCGUGGGCGCUGGAGAACUGAGGGGGGCUGCUCCUAGUACGAGAGGACCGGAGUGGACGCAUCACUGGUGUUCGGGUUGUCAUGCCAAUGGCACUGCCCGGUAGCUAAAUGCGGAAGAGAUAAGUGCUGAAAGCAUCUAAGCACGAAACUUGCCCCGAGAUGAGUUCUCCCUGAGACUUAGAGUCUCCUGAAGGAACGUUGAAGACGACGACGUUGAUAGGCCGGGUGUGUAAGCGCAGCGAUGCGUUGAGCUAACCGGUACUAAUGAACCGUGAGGCUUAACCUU